UGUGUGUGUGUGUGUGUGUGUGUGUGUGUGUGUGUGUUGGAUAACUGUUUCUGUCUAGAAACUAGAAGACACCCCCCUAUGAGGGGAGGAUAAAAGCUUAGGGGAAAGAAUAGAUUGGGGCUCACUUCGGACAAGAUCUUGGUGGACCGGGCCCCAACUUUAU